rnacentral:tRNA from 1 species
UGGGCACUCGCCAAGCGGUAAGGCACUGGACUCUGACUCCAGCAUUCGUAGGUUCGAAUCCUUCGUGCCCAG